rnacentral:rRNA from 1 species
UAGAGUUUGAUCCUGGCUCAGAUUGAACGCUAGCGGGAUGCUUUACACAUGCAAGUCGAACGGCAGCACGAGAGAGCUUGCUCUCUUGGUGGCGAGUGGCGGACGGGUGAGUAAUAUAUCGGAACGUGCCUAGUAGCGGGGGAUAACUACUCGAAAGAGUGGCUAAUACCGCAUACGCCCUACGGGGGAAAGGGGGGGAUCGCAAGACCUCUCACUAUUAGAGCGGCCGAUAUCGGAUUAGCUAGUUGGUGGGGUAAAGGCUCACCAAGGCAACGAUCCGUAGCUGGUUUGAGAGGACGACCAGCCACACUGGGACUGAGACACGGCCCAGACUCCUACGGGAGGCAGCAGUGGGGAAUUUUGGACAAUGGGGGAAACCCUGAUCCAGCCAUCCCGCGUGUAUGAUGAAGGCCUUCGGGUUGUAAAGUACUUUUGGCAGAGAAGAAAAGGUACCUCCUAAUACGAGGUACUGCUGACGGUAUCUGCAGAAUAAGCACCGGCUAACUACGUGCCAGCAGCCGCGGUAAUACGUAGGGUGCAAGCGUUAAUCGGAAUUACUGGGCGUAAAGCGUGUGUAGGCGGUUCGGAAAGAAAGAUGUGAAAUCCCAGGGCUUAACCUUGGAACUGCAUUUUUAACUGCCGAGCUAGAGUAUGUCAGAGGGGGGUAGAAUUCCACGUGUAGCAGUGAAAUGCGUAGAUAUGUGGAGGAAUACCGAUGGCGAAGGCAGCCCCCUGGGAUAAUACUGACGCUCAGACACGAAAGCGUGGGGAGCAAACAGGAUUAGAUACCCUGGUAGUCCACGCCCUAAACGAUGUCAACUAGCUGUUGGGGCCGUUAGGCCUUAGUAGCGCAGCUAACGCGUGAAGUUGACCGCCUGGGGAGUACGGUCGCAAGAUUAAAACUCAAAGGAAUUGACGGGGACCCGCACAAGCGGUGGAUGAUGUGGAUUAAUUCGAUGCAACGCGAAAAACCUUACCUACCCUUGACAUGUCUGGAAUCCCGAAGAGAUUUGGGAGUGCUCGCAAGAGAACCGGAACACAGGUGCUGCAUGGCUGUCGUCAGCUCGUGUCGUGAGAUGUUGGGUUAAGUCCCGCAACGAGCGCAACCCUUGUCAUUAGUUGCUACGCAAGAGCACUCUAAUGAGACUGCCGGUGACAAACCGGAGGAAGGUGGGGAUGACGUCAAGUCCUCAUGGCCCUUAUGGGUAGGGCUUCACACGUCAUACAAUGGUCGGGACAGAGGGUCGCCAACCCGCGAGGGGGAGCCAAUCUCAGAAACCCGAUCGUAGUCCGGAUCGCAGUCUGCAACUCGACUGCGUGAAGUCGGAAUCGCUAGUAAUCGCGGAUCAGAAUGUCGCGGUGAAUACGUUCCCGGGUCUUGUACACACCGCCCGUCACACCAUGGGAGUGGGUUUCACCAGAAGUAGGUAGCCUAACCGUAAGGAGGGCGCUUACCACGGUGGGAUUCAUGACUGGGGUGAAGUCGUAACAAGGGUAACC